UACAGAGGUCUCGAGCGUUAGGCGAAAUCACUGGGCUUAAAGCGUGUGUAGGUGGAUGCCUAAGUACCUUGUGAAAUCCCACAGCUUAACUGUGGAACUGCUUGGUAUACUGGGUGUCUUGAGUCACUCAGGGGCGAGCGGAACAAAUGGUGGAGCGGUGAAAUGCGUAGAUAUCAUGUGGAACGCCAAUGGUGAAAACAGCUCGCUGGGGGUGCACUGACACUGAGACACGAAAGCCAGGGGGGCGAACGGG
rnacentral:rRNA from 1 species